rnacentral:lncRNA from 1 species
GCCUACCGGCUCAACCUCCAAAUGAAAAGAAGUACGAAGGGGACUCCAAGGUAAGCCAAGUGAAGCCAAGCUAAAGCAAGCUCACUCUGUCCUUACAAUCUUUUCUCUCGACUAUUUUCAAAACUUUGGUUAACUUAAGCAUCGAAAGGUCCCCUGCCAGAAUACCCCCGAUAAGUGUGGACUUUCUUUGUAGGUAUCCUCUAGCAUUGUAGAUCUAGACUGACAUCUGACUCCAGCCACAUCAGCACCUCAUUAGAGUCUUGUGGUAAUAGAUUGGCACUAGAAGAAAUGGUGUGGAAAGAGUGCAAAACUCUACCUCCUCCCAUCAGUAGUCUACCUACCACAGCUGGAGCAGCGUUGCUCGUGGGUCUAUCGCGGCACAACCUUCAGCUAUAAUAGAUCUACCACUGUCCGAAGCCCUAGCUUAUUAGAUCCAGACACUGAUCGAUGCUAUAUAGUGGCUCCAGUAGAUGACAGCCUG